AUGAUGUCACUGACAAAGGUGUUUAUGUCUUUGUUGCUCUGGGUCUCAACUGCCUGUGGGGACAUCGUGAUGACCCAGUCUCCAGGCUCCUUGGCAGUGUCUCCAGGACAGAGGGUCACCAUUAGCUGCAAGGCCAGUCAGAGUGUUAGCAACUACUUAGACUGGUACCAGCAAAAACCAGGAGAGGCUCCUAUGCUGCUUAUCUAUGCGGCAUCCAGCAGAGCAUCUGGGGUCCCCGACAGAUUCAGUGGCGGUGGAUCUGGGACAGAUUUCGCUCUCACCAUCAGCAGCCUCCAGGCUGAAGAUGUGGCAGUUUAUCACUGUCAGCAGCAUUAUACUAAUCCUCCCACAAGUUCAGGGGAGGGAAAAGAAAUUGAGGUGGAGACAAUCAGUGUUUCUGUUAUCUAA